rnacentral:rRNA from 1 species
AGCAGUAGCCGCGGUAAUACAGAGGGUGCGAGCGUUAAUCGGAUUUACUGGGCGUAAAGCGUGCGUAGGCGGCUUCUUAAGUCGGAUGUGAAAUCCCUGAGCUUAACUUAGGAAUUGCAUUGAUACUGGGAAGCUAGAGUAUGGGAGAGGAUGGUAGAAUUCCAGGUGUAGCGGUGAAAUGCGUAGAGAUCUGGAGGAAUACCGAUGGCGAAGGCAGCCAUCUGGCCUAAUACUGACGCUGAGGUACGAAAGCAUGGGGAGCAAACAGGAUUAGAUACCCCCGUAGUCCCUGUCUCUUAUACA